rnacentral:rRNA from 1 species
CGCGUAGGCGGCCAUUCAAGUAGGGGGUGAAAGCCUGUGGCUCAACCACAGAAUUGCCUUCGAUACUGUUUGGCUUGAGUUUGGUAGAGGUUGGUGGAACUGCGAGUGUAGAGGUGAAAUUCGUAGAUAUUCGCAAGAACACCAGUGGCGAAGGCGGCCAACUGGACAAACACUGACGCUGAGGCGCGAAAGCGUGGGGAGCAAACA